rnacentral:ncRNA from 1 species
GGUCAUGAGCGCCAGCGUCAAGCCCCGGCUUGCUGGCCGGCAACCCUCCUCCGCGGUGGGGUGCCCCGGGUGAAGACCGGGCACCGGAGCGAAUCCGGUGCAAGCGUGGCCU